rnacentral:rRNA from 1 species
CGAGAUAGCUUCAGGUGACUGGAGUUCAGACGUGUGCUCUUCCGAUCUGUUUCCCAGUCACGAUAAAAAUGCAGUGAGGAAUUUUGGACAAUGGGCGAAAGCCUGAUCCAGCAAUACCAAGUGAGUGAUGAAGGCUAAUUAGGUUGUAAAGCUCUUUCAUUAAGGAGGAAAAUGACAGUACUUAAAAAAGAAGUUCCGGCUAAUCCCCGUGCCAGCAGCCGCGGUAAUACGGGAGGAGCGAGCAUUAUUCGGAAUGAUUAGGCGUAAAGGGUUUGUAGGUGGUUUUUUAAGUUGAAAAAAACAAAUUAAAGCUCAACUUUAUAAAUUUUUUCAAUACUGAAAAACUUGAGUAUACAUAGAGGAUAAUGGAAUUUCUAUUGGAGGGAUAAAAUAUGUUGAUAAUAGAAGGAAGAUCGAAAGCGAAGGCAAUUAUCUGGGUAUAUACUGACACUGAGAAACGAAAGCUUGGGGAGCGAACGGGAUUAGAUACCCCGGUAGUCCAUGCUGUAAACGAUGAGUGCUCAUAUUUAGAAUUUUUUAGAUAUUAAGCUAACGCGUUAAGCACUCCGCCUGAAAAGUAUAAUCGCAAGAUCGAAAUUCAAAGGAAUUGACGGGAGCCUACACAAGCGGUGGAGCAUGUGGUUUAAUUCGAUAAUACGCGCAGAACCUUACCAACUCUUGCAAAUCAAAUUUAAAUAUUAAUUAAAUUUGAACAGGCGUUGCAUGGCUGUCGUCAGCUCGUGUUGUGAAAUGUUUGGUUAAAUCCUUUAACGAGCGCAACCCCUAUUAUUAGUUGCUAUUUUAUAUAGUAUAUAAAAGCACUCUAAUAAAAAUGUCAAUGAUAGGUUGAAGGAAGGUAGGGAUGACGUCAAGUCUUCAUGGCCCUUAUGAGUUGGGCUACACACGUGCUACAAUGAUAAUGACAAUGAGAGGCAAUAAUGAUUAAAAAUUGGAGCAAAUCUUUAAAAAUUAUCUUAGUUCGGAUUAUGGGCUGCAACUCGCCCAUAUGAAGCUGGAAUCGCUAGUAAUCGCAGAUCAGCAUGCUGCGGUGAAUAUGUUACUAGGCUUUGUACACACCGCCCGUCACAUCAAGGAAGUAUCGUGACUGGGAAAC